rnacentral:rRNA from 1 species
UGAGUACGAGCUGCUACGGCAGCGAAGUGGGUGAUGUCAAGCUUCCAAGAAAAGCCCUAUACCCGUUAAGGCAUGACGGCCUGUACCCGAAACCGACACAGGUGGGGUGGUAGAGAAUACCGAGGGGCGCGAGAUAACUCUCUCUAAGGAACUCGGCAAAAUGGCCCCGUAACUUCGGGAGAAGGGGUGCCACCGCAAGGUGGUCGCAGUGAAGAGGCCCAGGCGACUGUUUACCAAAAACACAGGUCUCCGCUAAGUCGCAAGACGAUGUAUGGGGGCUGACGCCUGCCCAGUGCCGGAAGGUUAAGGAAGCUGGUCAGCGCAAGCGAAGCUAGCGACUGAAGCCCCGGUGAACGGCGGCCGUAACUAUAACGGUCCUAAGGUAGCGAAACUCCUUGUCGGGUAAGUUCCGACCCGCACGAAAGGCGUAACGAUCUGGGCGCUGUCUCGGAGAGAGGCUCGGCGAAAUAGAAUUGUCUGUGAAGAUGCGGACUACGUGCACCCGGACAGAAAGACCCUAUGAAGCUUUACUGUAGCUUGGUUAUGUGCCCGGUCUCUGAAUGCGCAGGAUAGGUGGGAGGCUUUGAUCCAUGGCUUGCGGGUCAUGGUGAGCCAACGGUGAGAUACCACUCCUUCAGAGCUAGGGUUCUAACAGCCACCCGUUAUCCGGGGGCUGGACAGUAUCAGGUGGGCAGUUUGACUGGGGCGGUCGCCUCCUAAAAGGUAACGGAGGCGCGCAAAGGUUUGCUCAGGCUGGUUGGAAAUCAGCCGACGAGUGCAAAAGCAGAAGCAAGCUUGACUGUGAGACCAACAAGUCGAACAGGGACGAAAGUCGGCUUUAGUGAUCCGACGGUUCUGAGUGGAAGGGCCGUCGCUCAACGGAUAAAAGUUACUCUAGGAUAACAGGCUGAUCUCCCCCAAGAGUUCACAUCGACGGGGAGGUUUGGCACCUCGAUGUCGGCUCAUCGCAUCUGGGGCUGAAGUCGGUCCCAAGGGUUGGGCUGUUCGCCCAUUAAAGCGGUACGCGAGCUGGGUUCAGAACGUCGUGAGACAGUUCGGUCCAUAUCCGGUGCAUGCGUAAGAACAUUGAGAGGAGUUCUCCCUAGUACGAGAGGACCGGGAGGAACGCACCUCUGGUGUACCAGUUAUCGUGCCAACGGUAAACGCUGGGUAGCCAUGUGCGGAGAGGAUAACCGCUGAAAGCAUCUAAGUGGGAAGCCCACCUCAAGAUGAGUGUUCUCAUGGCUUAAGCCAGUAAGGUCACGGGAAGAACACCCGUUGAUAGGCUCUACGUGGAAGCGCAGCAAUGUGUGAAGCGGAGGAGUACUAAUAGACCGAGGGCUCGACC